GAUCGAAUCCGGAUCUCGGAUAAUAAGUCCCCGGCCUACCAUCAGCUACCUGAGAUCAUUUUAAAAUAAAUAAUCUAUAAUCAAAUAGUAAAAGUUUCUAUAAUGGCUAUUUCGUUCAUGGGAAAUAACAAAAAUAUAAAGCCUCUAGAGAAAUGUACCCAAGGUCCUAGCUUUGCUAGAAAGAUACCAAAGAGCACUCACGUCAAUGGUAGAGAACUUUAUUACAAUAAAACUUUUUUUUGUAGCCGGCUUACUAAUAUUAAAUUGCAAAAAAAUGACAAAUGUUUACAAAAGCCCAAAAACUCUAGUUAAGGAGCAUAGCCCAAUGAAACUCACAAAAUAGAAUUUUUCUAAACUCAUUUAGUUAUCCAGCCUCAGUCAGAGGCCCAGUUGCUGUGUUGUUUUUGAUUUGUCGAUGGUAUCGAAGAGAAACUGAAUGGUCCGAGGUCGCUAGUCUGUCAACAAAAGAGUUUGAUGCGGUGAAACAGAUGAUCUUUCUCAACGAAACCAGAACUGCAUCAUUACUGAGGCUUUCCUAGGGCGGUUGUUGCGCUCGUUCCAUGUCCAAUAGAGAGUUGCUUGCCAGCCUAGAAGAGUCAGCGAUCGGACUGUUGAAGGAGAAGGUGGCGAGAUCAUCUGAGCCAAUGAACUCUCCCAGUUGCAUUGUGGAUUGAGUCUACAUCUUGAAGCCACUGUUGGACCCGAAUAUGACCCUCAGGUGAGGUACCGAUAAGCGUGAGCUAGCAUGUGGGUUGCGAUAAGCCCAUCAUAACAAAGGGAGCUGAAAGCCGAGCUGACGACUGGACCUGGGAGACAUCAUAGCAGAGGUCACGACAGAAAGUGAGCUAACACCUUAAGAGACUCGGUCAAGAGGAGCCUAAAGCGAGUUCCGUAAUUGAAGCCGAAUAUCUCGGAGAACAGUUGAAGGGUUGCCAACGAAACCUAGACUAUAUAAAGACGGAGAAGAUAAAAGACAAGCCAUCUCUUUUCCAUAUAUCAACUUUUGUACUAGAUUAAAAGCAUUACGUAUUCUUUAGUAAUCAUCUCAAGAUACAUUCCUUUGUAUUCAUCAUCUUUCAACUCAUCAAUAAAAUCAUAUUCAUUCUUCAAGUUUA